UUAAUGCCCUAGGGGAGUAUAUUACUGAGAGUCCAAAUUAUUGGACGACCCUUAGAACCUGAUCCGGAUGAUACCGGCGUAGGGAAGCGGCGCUGAAACUGG
rfam:Desulfobacteraceae bacterium 4572_35.2 ex4572_35.2_scaffold_1390, whole genome shotgun sequence.